ACCUGAAAGUACAUUUUAGAAUUAAUGAAUUACUCUCUUUUAAUUAAAUGGAAAUGAAUGCUUAUAUCACAUCCAUGCAUCAUGAUUCUGAAGUUGAUGAAUUGCUCUCUUUUAAAGUCAUUUUAGAAUUUUCACAAGAUUGCUGCAGGUACCCCAUAUAUGGUGGCAUGCAAGACUGGAACUAUAUAUACGGUUGCUUUUUUGAGCUGAUUUUAGAGAUUACAGAAUAGAUGGCCUCCUUCUAAUGAGCUUGCUACCAUUUUUUAGUACAAGUUGAGCUUGUUAAAGCCUGUUGCAAGCCUUAUUCAGACAGGCAUACAUGGAAGAAUUUUUUUCAUCGGAGUUGAAGGCCGUUACCUGCAACCAUUACACUCAGGGGAAUAGAUUA